AUGGCUCUUCUAUUACAUUCCUAUGAAAACUCCCUUUUGGAACCUUUAUUUCUAAAAGUUUUUGUAAACAUUGUAGACAUCAUAUUUAGCAUCAUAUUUAGAUGCAGAUUUCUUGCAUAUAUCUCAUAUAUAUGUGCACAUGGGAACAGGAAACAAGAUCUUCAGAGACAAAGAGAGUACCGGGAGGAGAUGAGAGAAAUCCGGGAAAGAGUGAAGGGAAGACCUCUGUUACUGGAACACGUCACAAAGAUGAAUGCUAAGAGAGCAGAAGAAAAGCUCUACUCUGCCACUUUGCAUGGAUGUGGUCUAAGUGAAUCCUUUAUCCGCAGUAAAGCUCAUAAAGGCUUGAAACACAGACAGACUCCAAGCCCCGCCCACUCUGGCAGCCAGGCUCCACCCACAUAUAGUAAAAACAGAAAUGAAGAUAAUGGGGAAUUUCCAGACUUGCAGGAUUCCCUUCUCAAUGACUAUGCAGAUGAUUAUGAGGAGUAUGACCAUGACAUGGAGGCAGGACACAUGGACAGAGAUGAUGACAGGAUGACAGACACAAUGAGUGUCGUGACACUGAUAAGGAAAAGGCCAGCGAUGAAGGACACUCAUAUCAUGAUGAACUGAAUUGUGAUGAUGAUGAACAGGAUGACCGUUAUAAAGAUGAUGACAUCAACAAUAAGCACAGCCAGAGUGAAAGUAACAACAGUCACCAUAGCGACAGGAGCAGAACAGGUAGUUAAGUGACAGAAAAAUGGGAAGAUCAGAAAAGUGAAGAGAGGACUGGUGUUCUCCUAAGAUACAAUGGAGAUCAAAAUUAGAGAACAAUCUACAAUUUCCUCAAUUUCAAGGUCACUGCAAGAUGGCGGGCCGCUCUAAGGUGACUGAAACCAGGGGGGCAGGGUUUCAUAUUUUAUUGAGGCAUCCCUGGGCGCCGCCAUUGGCUAGCGGACCCCCACCUGCUGUUAGCAUUCCAUUGACUCCCAUUCAUUUUGGUGUCACUUUGACAGUGAAUAACUUUACAUCUGAGGUGUUUAAAGACUCCAUUUGUCCAUUCAUUAUUUCUAAAGAAACACGAAAAAUGUAUAAAAGGCCCUAUUACCUUGUAUCUUACGUUAUGGCCCUGUAGAAGCAGUUUUUGUAAAAAUAGGCUAACGAUUGCGUCAUAACCAGCGACUCUCUGUCGCACAGUAGAGAAAUUACCGUAUGGACAGGAGGAGAAGCUCGCAGGCAAUUUUUUACUGUCUAUGAGGCUAUCGGGGGGACGUGGAGGCAUGAAGUCACGGGAGAAGCCCAUAGAGAGUCCAUAAAAGACACGGGACAAAAUUGUUCAACAACGUUUUGAGAAAUUCGGUGGGUGAUUCAGAUUUCUCUUGGCACAGCGAUUAGAAGACUUACAAUUGUCAGACAGGUUGCUCACGUGACAUUUACGUCAUCAAGAUCAGUUUGAGUCUGCGCAGUACGCUCGACUCCCAGGAAGUGCGUGCUUCUAAUUGACUUCACUUGUCUCCGUUGAAUCCAACGGGGUCGCUGUGUCCAUUUCUUUUUACUGUCUAUGAUGAGAACCGAGGAGCUGGUGAUACUGCACAUGCGUGAUUCAGUGUGAAGCAGACUGACACACAGCGCGUCUGAACCGAACUGGUUCUUUUGGUGAUUGAUUCUGAACUGAUUCUGUGCUAAUGUUAUGAUCUCUGUCCUGGAACGCUAUCACUUUUAAUUUAAAACGUUUUUUUAAAAACAAUUAUUUAUCAAAAAGAUGGAAUUAGAAAUAAAUGUUAGGUAAGAACGAUGGAAGACCA
ensembl:lncRNA